rnacentral:ncRNA from 1 species
GAUCUAAGUUAGCCCUCGCUUAUGGGCGAUAAUAUAGAUAAAGGGCGAAAAAUUUAGAGGUUCGGUCAGUGUAUGGACCGAGUGACGUGAGGCAUCGACCGCUGCCUAGUCGGUCGGGAUCGGGUCUUACAAGUAUGGUGCCAGCAGCCGCGGUAAUUCCAGCUCCAAUAGCGUAUAUUUAAGUUGUUGCAGUUAAAAAGUUCGUAGUUGAACCUUGGGAUGGGUCGCCCGGUCCGUUUUCGGUGAGCACCGGUCGGCUUGUCUCUUCUGUCGGUGAUAUGCUCCUGGCCUUAACUGGCCGGGUCGUUCCUCCGGUGCUGUUACUUUGAAGAAAUUAGAGUGCUCAAAGGAAGCCUACGCUCUGUAUACAUUAGUAUGGGAUAACAUCAUAGGAUUUAGAUCCUAUUGCGUUGGCCUUCGGGAUCGGAGUAAUGAUUAACAGGGACAGUCGCUGUGACACUCCCGAUCGUAGAUGACCAGAAAUGACACAGUCGAUAUUCCUCGAUGUUCUCAGAAUACGUCCGAUCGCCUUAGACCAACA